GCAUCCGUGGCCAAGCGGUAAGGCGCUCCACUCGUAAUGGAGAGAUCCCCGGUUCGAUCCCGGGCGGGUGCA